rnacentral:rRNA from 1 species
UACGGAGGGGGCAAGCGUUGUUCGGAAUUACUGGGCGUAAAGGGCGCGUAGGCGGCCUUCUAAGUCAGACGUGAAAUCCCCAGGCUUAACUUGGGAACUGCGUCUGAUACUGGGAGGCUUGAGUGCGGGAGAGGGAUGUGGAAUUCCAGGUGUAGCGGUGAAAUGCGUAGAUAUCUGGAGGAACACCGGUGGCGAAGGCGGCAUCCUGGACCGACACUGACGCUGAGGCGCGAAAGCUAGGGGAGCAAACGGG